UACGGAGGGGGCUAGCGUUGUUCGGAAUUACUGGGCGUAAAGCGCACGUAGGCGGCUUUGUAAGUUAGAGGUGAAAGCCCGGAGCUCAACUCCGGAACUGCCUUUAAGACUGCAUCGCUUGAACGUCGGAGAGGUAAGUGGAAUUCCGAGUGUAGAGGUGAAAUUCGUAGAUAUUCGGAAGAACACCAGUGGCGAAGGCGACUUACUGGUCCGGUACUGACGCUGAGGUGCGAAAGCGUGGGGAGCAAACAGG
rnacentral:rRNA from 1 species